rnacentral:pre_miRNA from 10 species
CGGCUCUUGCCCAGUGGCGAAUAUCUCACUGGGGCCUCCAAAUGUUGUGACCAAGCGAGUUAUAGAGAAACGCCACACUUUGAGACAAAUUAGAAUCCUUUAUUAG